rnacentral:lncRNA from 1 species
CAGCCAGAGGAUCCAAAGUACCUGACACAAGCAGCUUGUGGCACCUUUGAGGAAGUAGCGUGGGGAAGAACACAGGGUGAGACCAACAAGGCCCGAGUCGUGAUCCUGCAGCACUUUCUGGGCCAUUGGAUUCUUUCCCCUGAAGAAUGAGUGACAGGAGCAGGCUGCUGUGUGCGCUGGGCAUGAAGGACUCAGAAAGAAGGAUUUAGAAGAAAAUGGAUGCAAAUACGUGAUAAUUUGGAAGAUGAUGGGGCAGGAAUUAGGUCUGUGAAAUCUUUUCCUAGACACCAAUGAGAUCAUGUGGAUCAGACUGAAAAAUCGGAAGAAACUUUUGUGUGUCUCUGCUGGACAAAAUCCAAUACAGGAACAGAGGAUGUGGACUGCUGACAGCCCCCCCCCCCAACAUCAAAUCUCUUUCUUUCCCCAUAGAAAUGGAAACAAUAUUUUAAGUAAUAAAAUGUGUCCUCAUUUUAGCUGGGUGUGUGGGCACCUAGUAGAAGGAUAUUUUGUCAGCCUCUCAGCUUAGUACUGAGCCCUAGGGCAUGGCUGUAAGUGCAAAUAUAAAAAUAUGAUAUGGCUGGAAGCCACAGCUGUUUGGGAAACACAUCCAAUCCUCCACUUGACUGGGAGGUGUUGGUUGGCUGCUUCUACAGUAGCCAUUUUGGUAAUUCAAACUUCAGGCUUGUAUGAAAACAAGAGCCUGGGUGCUGAAAACAUUGUUUUUGGCUUUUUAAGAUUCUAAUUGUCAUUUUUAAUUGUGUAAUUAGGCAAUGCUUCAUAAGACAUUAAAAUGCUCCCAAGGACUUUUUGGGUAGGGCCACCUAUGAACUUUAAUCAAUCUGCCCUAGUUCUUUGACCGAUAGAAAACACUGUUGCUUAAUUGAAGCCAUUGUAGUUUGGGUCUUUUUCUUCCUUUCUUCCACAAACUCCAAUUCUAACCGGUACAAGGAUGUUACAAUAAAUCUUUCUGCCAAAAGCUGCCGGAGCCCCACCGCCACGUGUGAGCUUUACGCCAGCCGACAGCCUGAGUUAGGGCCCAAAUGAAUACACAAAACUUGUAUUAGGUACAAUGCUGCUUGGCCAAUGAUUAGGAUUCUCAUCUGUUAGCUCAGUCUUAAUUAUCAUAAACCUAUAUAUUUUAUAAGACUUAUCAGACACCUUAUUGGCGUCCCUCCUUGCCGGUGGAUCACAUUGUGCCGCUGGAGCAGGAGCAGAGGGGGAAAAGAGUCAUACUUCUUGUUUCCUCGCUUAGAUAUGAGUCUCCUUGCCAUGUCACUUCCUGCCUGGAUCAUCACUUCUCUACUACAUUUCCCAGAAUCCUCUUUGACUCCUAGUCCUUGCUUGCCAUUGGCCAAACAGUAUUUUAUUUAACAAUAAGAUAAACAUACACAGUACAUUCCCCAUCAGAAGGAUUAAAGAAUAAAAAGAAAAAUAUACAGGAAAACCACUGUGGUUUUCACACAGAGAUGAUGAGUAGCAAAAGGAAAGAUGACUGUGAAGGGAGAAGCAACCCAUAGCAGUACCCUCAAGUCCUGAGACCGAAGCAGACACCUCAACCUACUCUUAGCCAGUAAUCUCUAAAUUUAGGCAGUUACUUCUAUUUUGAAAAUGGUCUUAGUGUAGCCCAGGCUGGCCUCCAAUUCAUGGUGUAGUGGACGAUAAAGAUGGCUUUAAGUUCCAGAUCCUCCUGUGGUGCCUCCCAAGUGUUGGAAUCACAAGCCUGUACUUCCACGCAUGGUUUAAAACUCGGAUAAGGCAAGCACUCCAUUCUUUGUGGGUUCAUUUCUUGUCUCCUCCCCAAAAGCCUCCUUUCCUUUAAGACAGAACUGUGAUUUUUUUUUUUUAGUUUUGCUGUUGUAAUUGAGGAUAUUGUGAUAGGCUGAGGGGGCAGAUAUGAUUUUAUAUAAAUAGUACAAAAAGCUAACACCAAUUAAAACUAGGCUUCAUUAUAAAAAUGAAAGCUCACUGGAAAAUAGCUGCUGACCAAAGCCAUUGAAAAUUGGGAAAAAUUACAAAAACAGACAUGGUAAAAACAGAUCGCAUAUUAAAGAAUCAUCUAAUUGCUUCGGAGAAGACUGGCACCUCCUCAAGCAUCAAUCAGUAAGUGGUUCUAAAUCUAGGUCAGAUAUGAAACCCCAUUUCCCCCGGCUUCAUAGUAUUGUCCCAGUUAGCUUGCUAGCAGGGGGUGAUGUGACAUGGUCUGCCAGUGAACUGGAAGGAGGAUGCCAAGGGGUUCUGGGAAAGAGGUUUUACUCUGCUAAAACCGAGCUCUAAAUGCACCCCUUAGGCCUUUGGGCAGGGUACUGUGCUGUUUCUUUAUCAUUUGUGAUGCCAGAAUGAGAGGAAAGGUACUUGAAGCUUCUGGCAGCCAUCUGGGGUCCAGGCGGUGAGCGUAAGCGUGGAAAGUCCACCGGAAAAGUAGGGGAGCCAGGUGAGGCAGCCCGAUGUCACCCUGUGCUUCCAGCCCAGGCCCUGGCCCCUCAUAUCAGAAAGGCUGUGGUGAUGCUUCGAAUGUCCUGUUGCUGCUGAUGGUCACACUGGACAGGCAAACAGCCAUCCAGCAUUUUGUUUGUAUUCGUUUUUUUUUCUUUUCUAAAUUAAGCUUUGUUUUCCACAUUCAGACGGUAUUAAUUGCUCAUGCUUCAGCUGUUUGUCAUAUUCUUGCUUUUGCUGCUUUUUUUUUUUGCUGACAGUGUGCCUCAUGUAGACGGUGUGUGUGUGUGUGUGUGUGUGUGUGUGUGUGUGUGUGUGUGUGUGUGUAAAAAGAGACACAGAGAGGGGACAGAAGAGAAGAGGGAGACAGGAAAAGUCCUGUCUGCCCCAGGGGAACAGCAGGAAAGAGAGAAGUAGGAAAGAGAACAGAAGUGGGUGGGGGUCUGUCUUUUAAAAGGGUCCUUUGCAUCUCUGCAGACUAGGACUCAUGGAACCCUGGGCUGACCAGGGUACUGCCCGAGUGCAUUCUGUCAGGAGACAGGGGCAGGCCAGCAUAAUGCCUGAGUCCUUACAGGCCCUGCCUAGAAUAAAGAAACAGAAGCGCUUCAGCCUGGGUUGACGCAGAGCUUCUGUGUGCAGAACUUCCUUUUCCGUAACACUGUGAGCAUUGUGGAGCACACCGGAGGAGGAUCGCAAGGUUAACAGUUAAUGUCCCUGACACUUAUGUGUGUGUCCUAUACUCACCCCCCUCUUUUGAGAGCAUUGAGUACAUAAUGCUAUAUCUUAGGUACACUUCUGGGCUCUAGGAAUACAAACAUGAAAAAAUAUAUAUCCCUGACAUCAAAGAACUUCCUCUCCAUUGAGGAGAUGAACAUAGGUUAUUAGACGUCAGAACUCUAGAUUUGUGUCCUAGAUGGAGUAAAGCCAGGAUGGAUAGUGGGUGGGAGGCAAAUCAUGGGAAGGAGAUAAGAUUAGGACGGCAAGGUAGAUGUUGAGAAACCUAGAAGAGGCCACAGGAGGAUCGAUGCCCAGGUUGUCUCUGGAAAGUGAAGCUGUUGUGGAUUGGCUCACUUUGGCUCCAUGAGUGCCUCAUUUGGAGACUCUUUUCAAAUCACUGAGCAGGUCUCAAGUUUGUAGUCACUAAUAAAGAAGAUGAGCAUAUCUAAGUGAUGAAACGGAAUUGAUUUUUAAAAAUACUUCUAUAAAAGCAAGGAAAAAGAAGGCAACAUAGCGAAAUUGGCAUUCUAUUUGAGAACUGAUGGAUCAGUAUCAAGUUUGAGGGCCAUGGAGAGGACUCACUGAGGAAGAGUGCUUGCUUGUGCAAGCAUAAGGACAUGAAUUCAAAUCCGGAUGACAUAUAAACAGCCAGGCAUGGCUGUGCAAUUUCAGUGCUGUGUGGAGGCAAAGACAGAAUUGCUGGGGCUUGCUGGCACCUAGCUCCAGGUGCAGGGAAAGAACCUGUUUCAAAGGAGUAAGGCAGAGAGAAACAGAGCAGGACAUGGAUGUCCUGUGUAUGUUCAACAGAAACACCUCUACCACCACGGCUGCUGUGUGUAAUUGCAAGUAAUUGCAGUUCUCAGCGGAUUCCCCAGGCACUCACUACUUUGACUCUAACUUGGCUUUUGGUGUGCUUCGUUCUUGAAAAUAGUCACCCACAAAUGCUCGUUAAGUGAAAACACACAUAAUGAUUGUUAAGUCAAGGCCGUUGCUCUGGGGAAGACAGGACCUAUGAAAAAUUAGUAAAGGGACAUGAGCAAAUUCUUUAACUUGGAUGCCAGUUUGCAGCUCUACAAAUUCUAUUGAAAACUGGCAGGUGGCUUAUUUAUGUCGACUGAAGACAUAAGAGUGAGAAAUAUAUCAAAAUAUCAUUUUUCCAGACAUUUUGAUAUAUCUGUUUUCAAAUUCUUACGCAUAAAGUCCAAAAGCAUGCUUCAUGUUUUCCACUGUCCCCAUAAUGUGUUUAGCCAAUUUUUGGAAAUGCUGUUUGAGAACAUUGGUUCUUCAUGCCAUCAACCCUGAAGCAGAAUGAAAUAGGCUGGCUAUCUCCAGUGCCUCCACAGGGGCUCCCUAAGUGGUCGCCAUGCCCACUUGAAGAGGGAUGGUGGUGGCCAAAGGGAGCAAACUGAAGUAGAUAUUCCAGGCUUUCACCCAGCUUUUAAUUGUUUGUGGACCUCAGUGAGCGGUCAUUGACUUCUUGAUAAAAGCAACUUCUAAGAGGCUGAUCCCCUUCUUGUUAGUCAUCCCAGGUCUCUUCAUUCCAAUUCUUUGUCAUUGAAAGAGUAUGGUUAGGACCACUCUAGCUUGUGUAGUUGGGAGGAGGCAGGUCACAUGACUAAUUUUGACUGCUGAGUCCUCUUCUUUGGACUAGGAUGGGAAAAUAGAGCUUCCUGAGUCUAACAUUUUAUCACUGGGGGUGUGAAAAUUCUCUGCCCAACAGACAAAUGAAAUCCCAUGGUAACACACAUGAUUUCUGUGUAACUGGCAGUGUGUUAUAUGGUGAUGGGAAAACGUUGGCUGACAGAGAAGACAAAGAUGAAUCCUGGUGAUUGACAGCACUUGUGCUUCUUAUGUACCUGCAUCCCUGUAGAGCUUAGUUAGAACCUUCAGAUUAGCCAGCCGAGAGCCCCGUGAAAGAUGUCUUAAACUUGAGCAUGUGCAGUGGUGGCAUUUGGUUACAAAUGACUAUAGCAGAGCAGUUUACACCAUGGAGACCUGUUGAGGUAAGUGCCAGGACACACACAGUGUGCUUUUUCUCAUGAACUUCAGUUUCCUUUAGUUCACUAAAAUCUAUUUGAGGAAAUAAUCUUUAUUCAUGUAUGUGCCUAUGAGGAGUAUGUGUGUGUGUAUGUGUAUGGAGUGUGUGUAUGUAUGUGUGUGUGUGUGUGUGUGUGUGGAGUGUGUAUGGAGUGUGUGUAUGUGUGAGUGUGUGUCUGUGUGUAGUGUGUAUGUGUAUGGAGUGUGUGUGUGUCUGUGUGUAGUGUGUAUGUGUAUGGAGUGUGUGUAUGUAUGUGUGUGUGUGUGUGUGUGUGUGUGUGUGUGUGUGUGUGUGGAGUGUGUGUCUGUGAGGAGUGUGUAUGUGUAUGGAGUGUGUGUAUGUGUGAGUGUGUGUCUGUGUGUAGUGUGUAUGUGUAUGGUGUGUGUGUGUGUAGUGUGUAUGUGUAUGGAGAGUGUGUGUGUGUGUGUGUGUGUGUGUGUGUGUGUGUGUGUGUGUGUGUGUGUGUGUUCUCAUAUAUUUCUAUUGAUGCUUUUGUGGACAUGCUCAGGUGCACAUGCAGGUAGAGGCCAGAGGCUGUCAUCCAUUCAUUUUCUUGAGCAUUCUCUAUUUACUGAGGCAGACUCUCUUGCUGGAACCAGAGCACACUGAUUCCCGUCUAUCUUGCCAGUCUUCCUCUAUCUCUGUCUCCCAAGUGCAGAGAUUAUAGACAGGCCACUGGCACUGGCCAGCUUUUUAUGUGAGUGCCAGGAAUCUGAACUUCAGUCUCAUGCUUGCACAGGAAGCAUUUUUUUAAUGCACUGAGCCAUCUCCCCAACCCAGGAAAACAAUUUUUACUCUCCUGUCCUAAAGAGUCCGUUAAGAAUGGUAACACUUGUCUCUCUAUGCUAACCUUUCCCUUUUCAGAGGAAGGAGCCCUGCAGGAAAGUCACAUGUGGAACAGGCACCAGGAACAUUUUUCAACCUUCUGCUUGGCAACUAUUCUAUAUUUUAAAACCUCAAAUUGUUCAUUGCUGCCAGAUGAGUUUUAGAAAGCAAAGGAGGUUGGUGUAGCUGCCUCAUAAAGGCCCUUGGGAGAUUCUUUUGAACACAGACUUUAAGACUGAACCCUUAAUGUGUCCGUUUACCACAUCUCCUGUUUUCCAUCACUGUUUUGGGGUUUUGUUCAGAGAAAACAUUAACAUAGUUCUGUAUUUAGUUCUAGAUGAAUUAAAACAAGAGCAACAUUACCAAACCACUUUGUUGACUGGAACACAGGGGAGAGGGCUGUGGCCAGAAUGCCGUGUGACACCCUUCACUGAGGGGGAGAGAAGAUCGUGUCUGUAAAAGACAGCAAUGAAUCAGAGUAAUUCUGAGGACAGAACAAUGCUCUACACUGCUAAUGAACAGCUGAUGAGAUCACAGAACCAAGUUUCAAUGUGACAAUCACAACAGACUGUUUAUUCAUAGUUUGUCCUCACUGCUAUAGGAAUGAAUGGGUAGAUAUUUUUCUCCAUCCCAGGAAGUCUCUAGCUAAGCAUUUUCACUCCUUCGUGUAGGAGUGUCAGGGACCUGGAAACCCAUUCCAUGCCACCAGGCUCAUGAGUGAUGGGUCGUUAGGGUGACAGUGGUGGUAGGAUGGUCACAUGGGCCCCAACAGGGAGAGGUAGAGGAUCCUAUCUUACAGAGGACAGGCCCUGGUGGUGGAAGGUGAAUUUAGAGCAAUUCCUGGAGAGACAGUGUACAUAAAGUUGCAAAGUCCACACAGGGAGCUUACCAAUAGCAGAGUAGGAAAAGAUUUAACAUUAAGGACUUAGACCUGAUGUUUAAAAAAAAAUAUUGGCUUUUUCUUCUGAAAGCAAUGAGGUUUGGAUUAGGGGAGCAAUCAGCAGAAUGAGAUGAGAGAUGAAGUAUGUUAACAUUUACACAGAGACUUAACCUCAAAUGAAAUGGCCCUCAACCAGUGAGAAAUUGUGUUAGGAAGUAGGGAGCCAAACUUCCUCACCCCUUACCCAGAUGAUUUUAGAUGUGAGUCAGAAAACUCUCCCAGGGUCUCCAGCAGGUUGGUGCCCCGGUUUCCUACAGAGGUAAUCUAAUCAUUUAACUCCCUUGCUGGCUUUACCCUUCCUUCUAUCAGAUCCCUCAUUUGUUGUGAAUCUCCCUGGCAUAAAUCAUUUCAUCAUGUAAGUUGUUUCCACACAAAUGCAUGCCCCAGGGUCCUCUUUUGGUGGGAGGGAACACAAAUCCCUAUUGCUGGUUGGACUUAAUGAUCAUUUCGGGAUAGACAGCCCUAUCACAGUACCUACAAAGGAGUCAUUUAUGACAUUUUUGGGUCCAUUACUUUGCACAAAGGUGACAACUCCAAAGAAGAAACAUGAAUAAAUGACAAAAAGAGAAGGUGACAGUUGUGUAUAUAGGUGGCCCUCUUUUGGGGAUAAAAUAGUACAAUGGUGCUUAUUUCCUAAUAUAUGACUCUCCUUGGAUACUAAAUGUGUCUGUCAGGGAAAAAUAAUGUCAUACUAUUAAGAAUUAGUAAUACAUGCUUUCAGAUGACAUUAGCCUAUUAAUUCUAAUUUUAUCUUAGUUGAACACAAAUGCUGUUCAGUGUUUAGAUGAUUUAUCAAGAUAUGAACUGAAGCUUGCCAAAUCCCUAGCUGAAGUCAUAAAUAAUUUCAACAUCUUUUGUUUCACAUUUGCUGUUUAAAGGGCCAUAAUAUUGGCAAAUGUAUCAUUGUUAGACUUUCUUAUAUUUUAAGCAUGAAGUCUACUCCUUUAAAAAAGCAGCUUAAGUCACGGCUUUCUUUAAAAUCGUAGACCGAUGUCUACCUGCAUCUGUAGCUUUUCUGGGCAGAGUAAGGGUCCUACAGGAAUUGAUGCCCAAAAUCUUGGCUUUAAGAUGGUUUGUCUCUUCCAAAAUCCAUGUUGAAAUUUGGUUCCCAGGGUAAAAUGUGGAGAGGUGCUGAGAUGUUUAUGAGGUGUUUGGGUCUCAUGGGGCUCUAUCUUCCUUAAAGGAUUAAUGCUAAUCUUGCAGGAGGAAGUUACUUCUUGUGGGGAAAAUGCUGGUUAUCAUGAGAAUAGGAGCUAUGAAAUAAGCAGAGCUUCCUCUGGUCUCUGUGCUCUUGCUCCUGACAUGAUCCUUUCUGCCUUUCUGCAGGAUGUGGCCCUUACCAGAUGGCAACCAGUUGCCAGUGUGGUGCUCUUAGACUUCUCAGCCUCUAGGACGGUGAACCAAGAUAAAUUUCCUUUAUGUAUCACCCAGUUGAUAUUUUGCUAUUUUGCAAUAGCAAUGGCAAACAGACAGAGACACAUGUCAUCUUUCAGAAAGAAGAGUUGACAGACAGUUGGUUGAAGACAUUCUCCUCUAUAUCAGCCCUAGAUUUCCACUGAUUUCUAAGCUUUGUUCAAACAAGUACCCUAACUGUAAUUACAAUCAUAGUUAAAUAAUGGUCCGUGUACAAACACAAAACUCUAGAAUAUACCAACACAUUGCCACUAUUUCCAUUACGUUAAAGCAUCAGGAUUCUGAGUAGGUAACAGGCAAGCCAUGGUUGCACAACUAACCAGAAUUCUCAGGUUAUUGAUCAGCUUUGUUGGGGGGUGGGGGGCACUGAUAAGUUGAGGGAAACUCUUGUCAACACAAACCCCAAACUACCAAAUGUGAGACAAUAUAUAGAAGAUUAGAGUCCCUUGAAGAGCCCACUUAUUAGCACAAAGGGAUACUUCGCUGAAAUUACUUGACACUAUAACUCCACAGAAGCAUAGCAUGAAAGGUGUGGUGGGACCACUAACAAAGUCAGUGGCUCUGAGCCAAUCUAUAUAACCUCAUCCAGAAAUCUCAGUCAUUGCAGUGAAGAGAUAGUACUGGUCACAGAGAUGCUCAAAAGGAGGGGCACUGAGAAAUUGCUAGGAGACUCUUCUGUUGGCAUUACAGUGAAUAGGCUUUUCCAGGGAACUGAUUGAUCAUCACUCUGGUUUCAAAAUAACUGCCUGAGAAUGAUGACUUCACUGGGUGUUGAAAACCUGAGAA